rnacentral:rRNA from 1 species
UACGUAGGGUGCGAGCGUUAAUCGGAAUUACUGGGCGUAAAGCGUGCGCAGGCGGUUUUGUAAGCCAGAUGUGAAAGCCCCAGGCUUAACCUGGGAAUUGCAUUGAGGACUGGUGUGCUCGAGUGCGGCAGAGGGGGGUGGAAUUCCACGUGUAGCAGUGAAAUGCGUAGAGAUGUGGAGGAACACCGAUGGCGAAGGCAGCCCCCUGGGCCGACACUGACGCUCAUGCACGAAAGCGUGGGGAGCAAACAGG